CGAUGCUUCAUUCAAAUAUUCUGCCCUAUCAACUUUCGAUGAUAGAGUAGUGGUCUACCAUGGUUACGACGGGUAACGGGGAAUAAGGGUUCGAUUCCGGAGAGGGAGCCUGAGAAACGGCUACCACAUCCAAGGAAGGCAGCAGGCGCGCAAAUUACCCAAUCCCGACACGGGGAGGUAGUGACAAUAAAUAACAAUAUAGGGCUCUUUUGGGUCUUAUAAUUGGAAUGAGUACAAUUUAAAUCCCUUAACGAGGAACAAUUGGAGGGCAAGUCUGGUGCCAGCAGCCGCGGUAAUUCCAGCUCCAAUAGCGUAUAUUAAAGUUGUUGCAGUUAAAAAGCUCGUAGUUGAACUUCAGACCUGACCGGGCGGUCCGCCUAACGGUGUGUACUGUCUGGCCGGGCCUUACCUCUUGGUGAGCCGGCAUGCCCUUCACUGGGUGUGUCGGGGAACCAGGACCUUUACCUUGAGAAAAAUUAGAGGUGUUCAAAGCAGGCUUACGCCGGAAUACAUUAGGCAUGGAAUAAUUAAA
rnacentral:rRNA from 1 species